rnacentral:rRNA from 1 species
CAGACGGGUGAGUAACGCGUGGGUAACCUGCCUUACACAGGGGGAUAACACUUAGAAAUAGGUGCUAAAACCGCAUAAGCGCACAGCUUCGCAUGAAGCGGUGUGAAAAACUCCGGUGGUGUAAGAUGGACCCGCGUCUGAUUAGCUUGUUGGCGGGGUAACGGCCCACCAAGGCGACGAUCAGUAGCCGGCCUGAGAGGGCGGACGGCCACAUUGGGACUGAGACACGGCCCAGACUCCUACGGAAGGCAGCAG